AAAGAUGGGUUUUGUGUUGUGGUUUACAAGAUUACAGUCUUCAUAAUGUUGACAAGAGCUGACCAUUGAUUUGUACCUCCACUGAAGGUUUUUUUUUUUUAAGAUUUAGUUAUAUGAGUACACUGUAGCUGUCUUCUGGUAUGAAGGUGUACACAGCACAUAAAAUUUUUUUAAAAGUAUGAAUCCUAGGUGGAUGGUGGCGAAUACCUUUAUUCUCAGCACUUGAGAGGCAGGCUGAACUCAGUUCACUGUCAGCCUGGCUAGUUGCAGGACAGCUAAAAAAAAAACCAAAAAUCAGAAACUUACCAGUUUUCCCACUGCUGGGAUUAUAGACAGGCACCAUGUUGGCCUGAUUUGUAGAGAAUUUCUACGUUUGUAUAGAAGGUGAUAACUGAAGCAUACCUUACAUACAUUGAGACCUGUAGCUAGUAAGUGGUUUCUUGCUGCUGAGUUGUGUCCCUCUCCCCUCAACUACUAUCCUAAGUCAUAAGUUAAAGUUUGUGCUGAAGUGUAGUUCCCCUAGACUGGGUUUUUUUGUGUAGCCCAGGCUGUCCUAGUAUUCUUGCUCUGUAUACCAGACUGACCACCUAGAGAUGAAUUAUUUCAUCUACAGAGCUAGUGACUAGAGGCAGGAAAUUAUGGCUCUAUUAGAGGCUCACCUGCCUGCAUUGAAGGAGUAGGCAUGCUCUAAAGGUUGAAUGUUCCAAGUGCUCUUUGGGCAGUGCUAUGUUACACUUGGUAUAUGUGUGGGAACUCUUAGGCCCGGAUAUGAACUCUUGACAUGCUAUUUGAUGUGUUAAUUUGGUUUGAGAAGCACUCUUUCACAUACUAGGGUGCUAAUAUUUUAGAUUGUAUCGCUAAUUUUUACUUUUUAAAAAUUCAUUUAUGUGUGUAUUGUUUGCAUGUUAGGUGUGGGUAUGUGCAGACUAGAGGACUGUGGGAAUCACUUGGAGGUAGUUAUUACAGGCAGUUAAUCGAAUGUUGUGGGUGCUGGGAAUUAAAUUCAGGUCCUAUAGGAUCUAGUAUGUGCUUUCUUGGUAUUUUUUUUUUCUCUUCUUUUUGAAACUAUAGCCCUGGCUGUCAUAGAAUUUGCUUAUUAUGAGUUUGUUGACCUUGGAGACAUCCUUUCCUGUCCCAAAGUUGAAGUUUUUUAUUACCAGAUAGCUAGUGCCCAGUGUUUGGUAUUGGUUAGGUUUAGUUAUAGUAAUGUGGAUAGAUGAAAUAAAUGGAUGAUAAAGUUGUGACAUCC
rnacentral:lncRNA from 1 species